GACCUCAAGAGAAGAGAGAACAAGAAGAUACAUCUUAUAUGUGAAGGUUGCCUACAUGCAUAAAGCUGUAUGAAAGAUAUUGCGAGAAGAGGGUCUUCAAAAGUAAGUGGAAGCUUGUCACAUGCAUUCUUCUCUCCUUAAAAACAAAGGAUACCAUAAGUAAAACAAAAUGACAACCUACAGAAUGGGGGAAAAUUUUUGCAAGUGAAACUGACAAAGGCUUGAUCUCCAGAAUAUAUAAGCAGCUUAUACGACU